rnacentral:rRNA from 2 species
GUAGGAUAGAGGCCUACCAUGGUGGUAACGGGUAACGGGGUGUUAGGGCACGACACCGGAGAGGGAGCCUGAGAAACGGCUACCACAUCCAAGGAUGGCAGCAGGCGCGCAAAUUACCCAAUCCCGACACGGGGAGGUAGUGACAAUAAAUAACAAUACGGGGUUCUUUCGGAUCUCGUAAUUGGAAUGAGUACAAUUUAAAUCUCUUAACGAGGAACAAUUGGAGGGCAAGUCUGGUGCCAGCAGCCGCGGUAAUUCCAGCUCCAAUAGCGUAUAUUAAAGUUGUUGCAGUUAAAAAGCUCGUAGUUGAAUUUCGGGGUCAGCAGGUUGGUCGUGCCACUGGUAUGUACUGGCUUUGCUGAUUCCUCCUUCUUGUAGAACCGUAAUGCCAUUAAUUUGGUGUUGCGGGGAAACAGGACUGUUACUUUGAAAAAAUUAGAGUGUUUAAAGCAGGAMCUAACGCUUGAAUACAUUAGCAUGGAAUAAUGAAAUAGGACGAGCGAUCCUAUUUUGUUGGUUUCUAGGAUUGACGUAAUGAUUAAUAGGGAUAGUUGGGGGCAUUAGUAUUCAAUUGUCAGAGGUGAAAUUCUUGGAUUUAUUGAAGACUAACUACUGCGAAAGCAUUUGCCAAGGAUGUUUUCAUUAAUCAAGAACGAAAGUUAGGGGAUCGAAGACGAUCAGAGGCCGUGGUAGUCUUAAC